rnacentral:lncRNA from 1 species
ACGGGGAUAACAUUUGAAAUAUAGAUAAAAAUAUCCUAUAAAAAUUAUAAAAUUGUUAAAUGCUGACAUUAUCAGUUAGUAACAAUACAGUUACAGUAUGAUAUGGCUUCUGUCUGCCAUAUUGUAUAAGAUCACAGCCUGGGAAGCUGGGUUUCCUGAGUUGCAGCCUCAACACUAUAGCCUCUAAGCCACCUGACUUUAAUCAACUUCUGGGCUUUGAGUAACUGUAACUUCCCCUUUUUGGUAUAAUUAUAGAUUGAAGCUGCAUUUCAUAGAGCUAUUGUUAUACCAUGUCUAACAUGGAUGCAACAGUUUUAAAGAAUAAAAUCUUUUACUCCAAGGGCAUAGAAAGAAGGCCCAUGUAUAGAUCAAACUUGCCAAUAAUAAUAAGCAAAAAUUUGCCCCAGUUUUUAGAAGGACAUUAUCAAGGUCUAGUGACUAUUAGCAGAGGGCUGUGCAGAAAGACUGGGAUCUAAGAGGCCACUGAACGACUGUGUAGGGUGAGGCUGAGAGAGACUGAAAAGCUGCUGUGUCCAACAAUAUAGUUCUCUAAACUAUCAAUAGGAGCAAUCUAGGUAACCUGAAAAAGGAAAACCCUUUCCUAUAACUGAGUCAAAUGCUAAGAGUUGCCACUUUGCAGUCUGAGCAACAUGGGCUAGCACCUAUGCGAUUGCAGCUGAAUUGCUUACAAGCAUAUGACCUGAGUUCAAAACCCAGAAAUAAAAAAAAAAAAA